UACCUGGUUGAUCCUGCCAGUAGCAUAUGCUUGUCUCAAAGAUUAAGCCAUGCAUGUCUAAGUACACACGGCCGGUACAGUGAAACUGUAAUGGUGUAAUAACCAUUAAAUCAGUUAUAGUUCCUUUGGUUGCUCCAACCGUUACUUGGAUAACUUUGAUAAUUCUAGAGCUAAUACAUGCUGAUGAGCACUGACCUCUGGGGAUGCAUGCAUUUAUCAGACCAAAACCAACCUGUGGUCGCCCUGCCACUUUGGUGACUCUAGAUAACCUCAGGUCAAUCACACGGCCCUGUGGCAGUGGCAAUGCAUUCGAAUGUCUGCCCUAUCAACUUUUGCUGUUACUUUUUGUGCCUACCUUGGUGACCAUGGGUAAUGGGGAAUCAGGGUUCGAUUCUGGAGAGGGAGCCUGAGAAAUGGGUACCACAUCCAAGGAAGGAAGCAGGCAUACUAAUUACCCACUCCCGACCUGGGGAGGUAGUGAUGAAAAAUAACAAUACAGGACUCUUUCGAGGCCCUGAAAUUGGAAUGAGUACACUUUAAAUCCUUUAACGAAUAUCUAUUGGAGGGCAAGUCUGGUGCCAGCAGCCAUGGUAAUUCCAGGUCCAAUAGCAUAUAUGAAAGUUUCUGCAGUUAAAAAGCUCAUAGUUGGAUCAUGGGAUUGAGCUGGUGGGUGCCGUGAGGUGAACUACUGCCUUUCCCAGCCCCUGCCUCAGCACUCCCCUGAUGUUCUUAACUGAGCGCGAGGGGGGUCCAAAGCAUUUACUUUGAAAAAAAUUAGAGUGUUCAAAGCAGCCUGGUUGCCAGAAUACUCCAGCUAAGAAUAAUUAAUAAGACUCGGUUCUAUUUUGUUGGUUUUUGGAACUGGGGCCAUGGUUAAGAGGGAUGGCUGGGGGCAUUCGUAUUGUGCUGCUAGAGGUUAAAUUCUUGGACUGGCACAAGACUAACCAAAGUGAAAGCAUUUUCCAAGAACGUUUUCAUUAAUCAAGAAUGAAAGUCAGAGGUUCAAAGAUAAUCAGAUACUGUCGCAGUUCUGACCAUAAACAAUGCCAACUAGAGAUCCCGUGGCGUUAUUCCCAUGACCCACCAGGCAGCUUCUGGGAAACCAAAGUCUUUGGGUUCUGGGGGAAGUAUGGUUGCAAAGCUGAAACUUAAAGGAAUUGAUGGAAGGGCACCACCAGGAGUAGAGCCUGUGGCUUAAUUUGAGUCAACACGGGAAACCUCACCCGGCCCAGACAUGGAAAGGAUUGACAGAUUGAUAGCUGUUUCUCAAUUCUGUGGGUGGUGGUGCAUGGCUGUUCUCAGUUGGUGGAGCGAUUUGUUUGGUUAAUUCUGAUAAUGAACGAGACUCUGGCAUGCUAACUAGUUAUGCAACCCCCGAGCGGUCAGUGUCCAACUUCUUAGAGGGACAAGUGGCGUUCAGCCACCCAAGAUUGAGCAAUAACAGGUCUGUGAUGCCCUUAGAUGUCCGGGGCUGCACGCGCGCUACACUGACUGGCUCAGCGUGUGUCUACCCUAUGCUGACAGGUGCGUGUAACCCAUUGAACCCCAUUUAUAAUGGGGAUUGGGGAUUGCAAUUAUUCCCAUGGACGAGGAAUUGCCAGUAAGUGUGGGUCAUAAGAUCACAUUGAUUAAGUCCCUGCCCUUUGUACACACUGCCCGUCGCUACUACCAAUUGGAUGGUUUAGUGAGGUCCUCGGAUCAGCCGUGCUGGGGUCGGUCACGGCCCUGGUGGAGCACUGAGAAGAUGGAUGAACUUGAUUAUCUUGAGGAAGUAAAAGUCAUAACAAGGUUUCUGUAGAUGAACCUGCGGAAGCAUCAUUA
rfam:Alligator sinensis unplaced genomic scaffold scaffold332_1, whole genome shotgun sequence